AGAGAGAGAGUUGCUCUGUUGCAGCAGGGUGAGAAGGGGUGAGGCGGGGUGAGACAGCCCUCUCGUGACAAGCGCUACUCUCCCUCUCCGCUAGCUGUAGCUCUCCCUCUGUCUCUGUCCGGCCCCGGCCCUCAGCCAUUUUGGAAAGGGGAGAGAAAAGUGGCCGCUUUCUCUCUCUCUCUCUCUAUGUCUUUCACUACGUGGCGUAGAUUGGAAAGGCUGGGGCUGAGGCGAGGGCUGCUCUGUUAUGGAGAGGGCGGAGGAGAGGUGAGAAGACUCACUAGGCAGCUGGCUCGCUCGCAUUUGGGGAGAGAUGGGAGACAUGUUUGCAGAGAAAAGUCCGGUGCGAAAAGCAGUCAUUUUCAGUAUUCACCUUUCCUUUGAAAUGUCUUUUUUUUUCUCUCCUCAAUCUUCUGUUAAGCUUCUAUUAUUUUUUGAUCUUGUACUUUCUCACACUCGCUUUUUCUCUCUCUCUCUGUCUCUCUUUCUUUCCCCCCUCUUUUCCUCUCUAACUUUCGCUCUGCUUUGAACAUUUCUGGGUAAAUUUUUCCCCUGCCUGUUCGAGGCGAUAUCUUUUUGUCAUCCCCUUGUUCGGUUCAAUUCAGGGGAGUUUAAAACAAAAGGAAACGUCCAACGUUUUGGCACAGCUAAGGAGAGUCAGAACCGCAGCCAAGGACCCUGCUGGGAUAAAAAAAAAACAGGCAGAAUGAAGCAGCGCCAAAAAAAAAAAGAAAACACCACCCUUUCCUUUGCAUGGUCACAAAUUCCACUUUCUCUGUAGCCAGCCCUGAGCAGCUACAACAGCUCCUCCUCGACCACAUCUCACCGUCUGCAUUCAACCUUACGCCGUCUCUAGCUCGCCGUAGAUUUUUUCAAACUCCAUCUUGGGGGUUUGGGUUUUGUACCCCUGUUAUUGAGGAUAGGACAGCAGGACAGGAGGGUGAAAGGAGGAAGAAAGAAAGAGGGGGACAGUAUCUUUGCUUCAAUUUCAGCCGGUCCCUGCUGUAUUUUCACUGAAAGAGCCGGCCUACUCUGUCCACCAAGCCUGACUCCAUUUUGAUGCCAGACGAGGAGACGAGGACUGACCAGCCCUUUGGUUCCCACACCAUGUUGGCUCCAGCCCACACCAUUGGCUACCCACUACCACACCAGUACGUUGGCAUUUCUCUUUUCGUAUUUCUGUAUUUUUCUAUUCAUUUCUCAAUUCAUUUCUCUCUUGGUCUUGGUUUGUCGUGAUAAGUGCGAAACUGGACCUAUGAUUCUGUACCUCUCAUUCUCUCAUGUUCGACUGACCUUACCCUAUAGUACCUGUAUUGUUUUUAACGGUGAUUGUGAAUUCCUAUAUUUCUCGGAGAUAAGUACGGUAACAUAAAUAAAGCGAAUUAAAUCUCUCCCUCGUGUGCAUAUUCACCCUCAGCUUGUGAAAAAUAUUUGACAGUGAUUGUUCUGAAAGAUAGUGUAGUGAUGUACAUAAAUGAAACGUGGCAUUUUCAAAUCAAAAAUAUCUUUCAGAGCCAUGUUUUGUUUUGAUUUACAGUUCGCUAUGACAAUUGAAUGACCUUUUCAAUUUGUAGUUGAAUGUCACACGGUCUAUCAUUUCUGUUACACACCUUAAUCAAGAGGUGUGCUGUGUUUCUGUGGUGAUUAGAGUGACAAGGUGGCUCAGCAGAACUCAUUGAGUUCAUUGAUUUACUGUUAAUUCAUGUGACCUUUCAUUUGACUGUUGUCUUAUUCAUUGUUUAAUUAUACCUUCUGCACUAUCCCCUGGGGUGACUUUCUCUAUAGCAGUUAUUAAAAUGUCUUUAUAUAAGAGCUAUGGCCAGAUUUAAA